rnacentral:rRNA from 1 species
UACGAAGGUGGCAAGCGUUACUCGGAAUUACUAGGCGUAAAGGGCAGGUAGGUGGUUCAGUAAGUCUGUUGUGGAAGCCCCCGGCUUAACCGGGAGAGGCCAACGGAAACUACUGGACUUGAGUGUAGGAGAGGGUACUGGAAUUCCCGGUGUAGCGGUGAAAUGCGCAGAGAUCGGGAGGAAUACCGGUGGCGAAGGCGGCCUUCUGGACGGUGACUGACGCUGAGACGCGAAAGCGUGGGGAGCAAACAGG